UGCCUCUAAUCAGCAGUUACCCCAAAGCUGCAUUCUAGGAAAACUGCCUAUCUGCCUACCAUUUCUAACUCUAGCGAUGGAGAUGGGUAGAGCGCAGGUCUGAUCUCCAGUCA